UUAAGAAUGUAUGUUAGCACCAUAAUGCAAGUAACCUGUUCAGAAAGUAAUGGCUGAGAUAACAUCAUAAUGGUGUGCGCUAUCAUGUUGUAUUUCAAUAUAAUAUUGGAUAUACUAGACAUUUGCCGUUGGCAAUAACUGAGAAUAGGUAUUGCUUAUUCCAGGAAUAUUUGAUCUCUGGGACCAUGUUGAUGGAUAUCAGACUUAGAAUUUGAAGCUCUGGUGGAGGAAUUGGUGACCAGAUGCAACGUGGUGCCUUAGCGCAAGCCGCUGAACACCCUGCAUCCAUAAGUUCCUGCAGUACGAAAGAACGUUUGCUUUGUAGUCAUGAUGGUGGUUAAAAAUACCACUUGCCAUGGAAAGUGACCUGUGAGCUACACCAGUGAAGACCAAACAUUCUCUGAAGGAGGAGGAACUGAGAACAGAAACUGCAGCAUAGAAAAUUGAAAAGAAAAAAGGUUUUUUUUUUUUCCAAUCAACAGAAGACCAUGAUUGUGUGUACAGAGAAUAAGAAGAAAAUGCAGGAAAAUGCAUCAAACAUUAAUUCUAUGACGAGUAAUAUCAAGCGUAGCAUAGGCAUGUGAGGGGCCAUAUUUGAGCUCAACGUUGGACUAGAAAUACUAAACCAAGAGCAA